AUGGAUUCGGUGGUUUGGCCCCAUUCUGCUUCUGGUCGCUUCUCGGUUAAAUCUAUCUAUUCUAAGCUUAUUGGUGGAUCCCCUACUAGCAGAUUUUCCCAGGUUUGGAGGGCCCGGAUCCCCCUGAAAGUUAAGAUUUUUCUCUGGCAAGCUAUUAGGGGACGUCUGCCAGCGGCCGACCAAAUUCGCAAAAGGAAUGGUCCGGGAUCGGAGUUUUGCGCCCUUUGUGGUGCCUUGGAGGAUACGGAUCACAUUAUUUUCAAUUGUGUUAUGGCUAAGUUGAUCUGGAGCUGUGUUAGAGAGUGGCUCCAGGUCUCUUGGGUCCCCUCAUCCUUCUCUGAGCUCCGGGCCCUCGCUAACUCCCUGACAGACGCUACCAAACGGGUUUUUUGGGUUGGUCUGUGCUGGUCCCUUUGGACGACUAGGAACAAGUUUACCAUUGAGCAUGUGUUCCCUGCUAAACCUGCUGAGUGCUUAUUUAAAUCGUGUGCUCUCUUGCAGUAG
rnacentral:rRNA from 1 species